rnacentral:rRNA from 1 species
GAACGCUGGCGGCGUGCCUAAUACAUGCAAGUCGAGCGAACAGAUAAGGAGCUUGCUCCUUUGACGUUAGCGGCGGACGGGUGAGUAACACGUGGAUAACCUACCUAUAAGACUGGGAUAACUUCGGGAAACCGGAGCUAAUACCGGAUAAGAUUUUGAACCGCAUGGUUCAAUAGUGAAAGACGGCCUUGCUGUCACUUAUAGAUGGAUCCGCGCCGUAUUAGCUAGUUGGUAAGGUAACGGCUUACCAAGGCAACGAUACGUAGCCGACCUGAGAGGGUGAUCGGCCACACUGGAACUGAGACACGGUC